GACGAACGCUGGCGGCGUGCUUAACACAUGCAAGUCGAACGGAAAGGCCCUGCUUUUGUGGGGUGCUCGAUUGGCGAACGGGUGAGUAACACGUGAGUAACCUGCCCUUGACUUUGUGAUAACUUCAGGAAACUGGGGCUAAUACCGGAUAGGAGCUCCUGCUGCAUGGGGGGGGUUGGAAAGUUUCGGCGGUUGGGGAUGGACUCGCGGCUUAUCAGCUUGUUGGUGGGGUAGUGGCUUACCAAGGCUUUGACGGGUAGCCGGCCUGAGAGGGUGACCGGCCACAUUGGGACUGAGAUACGGCCCAGACUCCUACGGGAGGCAGCAGUGGGGAAUAUUGCACAAUGGGCGGAAGCCUGAUGCAGCAACGCCGCGUGCGGGAUGACGGCCUUCGGGUUGUAAACCGCUUUCGCCUGUGACGAAGCGUGAGUGACGGUAAUGGGUAAAGAAGCACCGGCUAACUACGUG
rnacentral:rRNA from 1 species